CGUCCAUCUGUUCAUUAGCCGAUGGAGCGGAGCCUCUCUGGACUCCAUGAAGGGUCAGCCUGCGUCCCUGUAUGAGCAGCACAUGAAGAAGAUACACCGCUGGACCCAAAGCCUCUCCACCGUCCCGUCAUCAGUGUCCACCUCCAACCAUCUGCUCAUCGUCCAGUGCUCCUGCCUGAAGGGACGUUUAGUGCAGCAGCUGAGGCUCAUUGAGGAGGAAGUGGGAGAGCAGCUGGUGGAGCAGAUACAGCUGCACACUGAAAGCAUCACAUCAGACCUGGAGACGACUUCUGCUCAGCUCAAGACACAACCCAGAGACUUACACAACCUCUCAAAAUACGCUGUGAUGAUGAGGAAGUCUGUGGAAAUGUUGGCUGACGUGCAGAAACGUUUGCAGUACAUCCGCUCGCUGCAGGACGUUGUUUCCUUCAACUUCAGGAAAAUGACUGAACAGGAAGCGACUUUGGAAGAAAAGGUUUAUUUGCAUCAAAGUGAAAAUAACCACAUUAGAGUUACACAUGAGAGUUGUACAUUAGAGGUGUGUGUGUGUGUGUGUGUGUGUGUGUGUGUGUGUGUGUGUGUGUGUUCUAUAUUCAGAUGCUGGCCUUGUGGGAUUCCUUUAUUCCCCUCUUGAAGCGAGCAGAUCACAUUGUGUGCUGCCGUCUUCCUUCAAUGGUGAACGCUUUGGACUCCAU
rnacentral:lncRNA from 1 species